AGUGAACGCUGGCGGUAGGCCUAACACAUGCAAGUCGAACGGCAGCACAGUAAGAGCUUGCUCUUACGGGUGGCGAGUGGCGGACGGGUGAGGAAUACAUCGGAAUCUACUUUUUCGUGGGGGAUAACGUAGGGAAACUUACGCUAAUGCCGCAUACGACCUAUGGGUGAAAGCAGGGGAUCUUCGGACCUUGCGCGAUUGAAUGAGCCGAUGUCGGAUUAGCUAGUUGGCGGGGUAAAGGCCCACCAAGGCGACGAUCCGUAGCUGGUCUGAGAGGAUGAUCAGCCACACUGGAACUGAGACACGGUCCAGACUCCUACGGGAGGCAGCAGUGGGGAAUAUUGGACAAUGGGCGCAAGCCUGAUCCAGCCAUACCGCGUGGGUGAAGAAGGCCUUCGGGUUGUAAAGCCCUUUUGUUGGGAAAGAAAAGCAGCAGGUUAAUACCCCGCUGUUCUGACGGUACCCAAAGAAUAAGCACCGGCUAACUUCGUG
rnacentral:rRNA from 1 species